AGUGAACGCUGGCGGCGUGCCUAAUACAUGCAAGUCGAACGGAGUGGCGCACGGGUGAGUAAUAUAUAGCUAAUCUGCCCCUUGCGGGGGGACAACCUUUAGAAAUGACUACUAAUACUCCAUAGCAAGGGAUGAGACUAUAUCUUAUCAGCUAGUCGGUGGGGUAACGGCCUACCGAGGCGAUGACGCGUAACUGGGCUGAGAGGAUGAGCAGGCACAUGGGAACUGAGACACGGUUCAAACGCCUACGGGAGGGAGCAGGAGGGAAUAUGGCGCAAUGGGGGAAACUCGGACGCAGCAACGCAGCGUGGAGUAUGACACUUUGCGGAGCGUAAACUCCUUUUGUUAGGGAAGCGGUACCUAACGAAUAAGCACCGGCUAACUCCGUGCCAGCAGCCGCGGUAAUUC
rnacentral:rRNA from 1 species